GACGUAGGGCGCGAGCGUUGUCCGGAUUUACUGGGCGUAAAGCGCACGUAGGCGGAUCGUUAAGUUAGAGGUGAAAGCCCGGAGCUCAACUCCGGAACUGCCUUUAAGACUGCAUCGCUAGAAUUGUGGAGAGGUGAGUGGAAUUCCAAGUGUAGAGGUGAAAUUCGUAGAUAUUCGGAAGAACACCAGUGGCGAAGGCGACUCACUGGACACAUAUUGACGCUGAGGCUCGAAAGCGUGGGGAGCAAACAGG
rnacentral:rRNA from 1 species